GUGUAAUCUCUGUUAAAAGGAUGAGCAGGGAGAAAAAAGCGAGCAGACAAGAGGGAAAGAGAUGCCAUUUUGGAACCAGGAAAUUAUUACCACGGGCGGUGGGGGGAGGGGGAGAGAGAGAGAUCCUGGUCCGGUCCCGAAGAACGCAGCUCCCCUCUCCCUUUCCCCACCAACCUCCUACUUCAAGGCAUCCUCAGGCUCAGCUAUUCACCUUUUCUCCUCCUGAGGAGCCGGCCAGCCCCACCGGUGCUACUGCUGAUGGUGCCGAAGUGGUCCCUUGCCCGGCAUGCGCAGCCCCGCCCUACGGCGGCAGCAACGCUAGCCGCUGCCCCAGGAAGAACCUGCUUUUCCAGCCCAGAGACCGAGGCAGGGCCUGGGCCAAAGCGGCACCCACCACCUUACCUUGUUGGCGCCUCUGAGGGAAGAAAGGGAGGCAGCUGAUGGCGUCGACGCCCGCCGCCGCCUCGAAGGGCCCUGUGCCUUUGACCGCUGAAUUCAACAGGGUUUCCCCGAUGGAGAAUUUUUGGGAUCUUAGACUGGGGGUCCUUGAAGAAAUUUGAAGACACAGGCUUGAAGCAAAAAGAUAAAACCUGAAUGGUUUGGAACCUAACUUUCCCUCUGUGAAUAGAACAGACUUCAUAUCAAUAGAAUGGGACUCUCCCGUUGUCUCCUCAUUUCCUCUGCAGCCUCCUGUGUCCUCCCAAAAGGGAUGGAGAAUCCUUGAAAAUGAUGGAGAAAUACAUCGCAAAGUUUGGAAUGAAAAUUUCAAAGGACAACUGUGUUUUGGUUCGUAUAUUGGUUGAGAUGUGCAAAUUAAGUUGCAAACAAAAUUGAAUUUCUCCCCCAGCCCUACGUAGAAGUAUUUCAAAAACAGCAACAACAGCAUGCAUAAAGAUGGAGGUUGAAAAUGGAUAAAAAUUAUUGUUUAUUUAACAGAAUUUGUAUACUGCUUAAUUGUAAAUAAAACCUGUAAAUGGUUUACAAAGACUAU